rnacentral:rRNA from 1 species
UACAGAGGGUGCAAGCGUUGCUCGGAAUCAUUGGGCGUAAAGGGCAGGUAGGUGGUCUGAUUUGUCUGGAGGUGAAAGCCUUGGGCUUAACCCAAGAAGUGCCCCGGAAACGGUCAGACUUUGAGUCUUGGAGAGGGUUGCGGAAUUCCCGGUGUAGCGGUGAAAUGCGUAGAUAUCGGAAGGAACACCAGUGGCGAAAGCGGCUUCCUGGUCCAGCACCGACGUCAGGCACGAAAGCGUGGGGAGCAAACAGG